CAUGCAGUCGAGCGGCAGCACGGGGGCAACCCUGGUGGCGAGUGGCGAACGGGUGAGUAAUACAUCGGAACGUGUCCUGUAGUGGGGGAUAGCCCGGCGAAGGCCGGAUUAAUACCGCAUACGCUCUACGGAGGAAAGGGGGGGAUCUUAGGACCUCCCGCUACAGGGGCGGCCGAUGGCAGAUUAGCUAGUUGGUGGGGUAAAGGCCUACCAAGGCGACGAUCUGUAGCUGGUCUGAGAGGACGACCAACCACACUGGGACUGAGACACGGCCCAGACUCCUACGGGAGGCAGCAGUGGGGAAUUUUGGACAAUGGGGGCAACCCUGAUCCAGCAAUGCCGCGUGUGUGAAGAAGGCCUUCGGGUUGUAAAGCACUUUUGUCCGGAAAGAAAACGCCGUGGUUAAUACCCGUGGCGGAUGACGGUACCGGAAGAAUAAGCACCGGCUAACUACGUGCCAGCAGCCGCGGUAAUACGUAGGGUGCAAGCGUUAAUCGGAAUUACUGGGCGUAAAGCGUGCGCAGGCGGUCCGCUAAUACAGAUGUGAAAUCCCCGGGCUUAACCUGGGAACUGCAUUUGUGACUGGCGGGCUAGAGUAUGGCAGAGGGGGGUAGAAUUACACGUGUAGCAGUGAAAUGCAUACAGAUGUGGAGGAAUACCGAUGGCGAAGGCAGCCCCCUGGGCCAAUACUGACGCUCAUGCACGAAAGCGUGGGGAGCAAACAGGAUUAGAUACCCUGGUAGUCCACGCCCUAACGAUGUCAACUAGUUGUCGGGUCUUCAUUGACUUGGUAACGUACUAACGCGUGAAGUUGACCGCCUGGCGAGUACAGUCGCAAGAUUAAAACUCAAAGGAAUUGACGGGGACCCGCACA
rnacentral:rRNA from 1 species